GCAAUCCCAGAGGGAGAGAGUGGAGGGUUUAGACCUCCAUUGAAGGGCUCAGUACCUGGCUAUAGGAAAUAACAUUUAAAAAGUGGCAGGGUGGAAAUAAUUUCUGCUGAUGAGGUUGCAUUUCUCCAGAUAACCGGCAGAGUAAAUUAAAGCAAUAUAGUAAAACAAUGCACAUCUUGAUGGAAUCUCAGGAUCACAAGGUUGUGGUGAAGGAAAUUUGAAGAUGUCCAGGAAAGAAAGACAAAUGAGAUGAAUCUUGCAGCUGCCCUUCAAGGGGGCAUGGGCCGGGUGGCCAUGAUUCUCCGUGAUGUUGCAGGAAUUCUGGCUGGGUCCUCAGGAGCCUUUUUUUCUUGUCCACAUUCACCUUCGGUGGGUGGUCCCUGGUGGUCAUGACCGCACUCAGGGCCCGGGGCCUGCUGAGGCUGCUCUCCCUGUUCCCGGAAUGCAGGGGUUUGUUCCAGAUCCCGCUGCUCUCCACACAGAAAGCCAAUCACUAAGACGAUAGUUACUGCCAAUGAAGAAGGCGUGCAUCAGAAGCU
rnacentral:lncRNA from 10 species